AUACUUACCUGGCAGGGGAGAUACCAUGAUCCAGAAGGUGGUUCACCCACGGCGGUGGCCUGGCCAUUGCACUCCGGCGGGGCUGACCCAUGCGAAUUCCCCAAAUGUGGGAAUCUCGACUGCAUAAUUUGUGGUAUAAUGGGGGACUGCGUUCACGCUCUCUCCUG
rnacentral:snRNA from 1 species